rnacentral:lncRNA from 1 species
UAAUAAUAUACAUAGAUUAUUAGAUGAUUCAUUUAAAAGAAUAUAUUUUUCUUUAAUAUAUUAUUUAGUUCAUUAUUUUGACUUAAUAAACUACAAAUUUUAUGCUGCACAAAUUUAUAAAGUGUCUUGUUAUAAUCUAAGAAAAAUAGCAUAUUUAUGCUAAUCAUAAUUUAAAAUUGAUUUUAUAAUUAUUUAUAGAGAUGUUCUAUCACUUUAAUAUAUGGGUUGAAAAUUUAAUAAUGACCAUAAUAAUGCUAAAGGGGAACAUGUGUGUGCCCUUCCACAUGCUGCAUGCUCAUAUUAACAUCACACAAUCUACGUAGAGCAGAAGGUCAGUGGAGACAUAUUUUUUAAGUUGGAGAGCAUGCUUGACUUAAAAUUGAAACUGCAAGGAACCAUGCCACAAAGGAGUGCUAUCAGAGAUUUGUAGAGGCCUAUGUUGCUGAUUCGUUACUGUACAGUAUUAUAAAAAAGUGAGUAAAUGCAUUCAAGUGAGACAUGAGCAACAAGCUUAGACCUGGGCAACUUGGCAUUUUGGAUGCACAAGUAUUCAAUGGACAAAUUGUAAAUGCAGCAUACUUUGUACAUGUUUUGCAAUACAAUCUGUAUGAAAUCCUGUGGAGGAAACAGUGUCACUUUCUGACUACUCCAGCCAUUAUCCUCCAUGACAAAAUCUAUUGUCUUGUUGCUGAUAUUGUUUGCAACCUGCUCAUAAGAUGGGGUUGUGAAGUACUAUUCCAACUACCAUAUUCUCCAGAUCUUUUCCUUUGUGAUUUGAUUUCCUAACUUCAAGGAACCCCUAUGAGGCAUUCAAUUCCACAUAGUUCGACAUUAUAUGUGCAAUCCACCACUCCAUCUGUGACAUCAACAUAUUUGGGACUGCUGAUAGCAUUAUGAAACUAUCACAAUGAUGG